rnacentral:rRNA from 1 species
AGUUAACGCUGGCGGCGUGCCUAACACAUGCAAGUCGAGCGAGGAGUACCAGAGUAUCGGGCUCCUAGCGGCAGACGGGUGAGUAACACGUAAACAAUCUGCCCUCGAAUGGGAGACAACCUGAAGAAAUUUAGGCUAAUACCCCAUACAACCCACUUAAAGCAUUUUAAGAGGAUGAAAGGCCCGCAAGGGUCGUUCGAGGAGGAGUUUGCGGCCUAUCAGCUAGUUGGCGGUGUAAUAGACCACCAAGGCUAUGACGGGUAUCCGAUCUAAAAGGAUGAACGGACACAAGGGCACUGAGACACGGGCCCUACUCCUACGGGAGGCUG